rnacentral:rRNA from 1 species
GACGAACGCUGGCGGCGCGCCUAACACAUGCAAGUCGAGCGGAGUUAGUUUGUAGCUUGCUACAAACUAACUUAGCGGCGGACGGGUGAGUAACGCGUGGAUAACCUGCCUUUUACAGGGGGAUAACACAGGGAAACUUGUGCUACUACCGCAUCACAUAUAGAAGUGGCAUCACUUUUCUAUCAAAGGAGCAAUUCGGUAGAAGAUGGAUCCGCGUCGGAUUAGCUAGUUGGCGGGGUAAAGGCCCACCAAGGCGACGGUCGGUAGCCGAACUGAGAGGUUGAUCGGCCACAUUGGGACUGAGACACGGCCCAGACUCCUACGGGAGGCAGCAGUGGGGAAUAUUGCGCAAUGGGGGAAACCCUGACGCAGCAACGCCGCGUGAAGGAUGAAGGCUUUCGGGUUGUAAACUUCUUUAGUCGGGGACGAAAAAAUGACGGUACCCGAAGAAUAAGCCACGGCUAACUACGUGCCAGCCGCCGCAGUAA